GACGAACGCUGGCGGCGUGCUUAACACAUGCGAGUCGAACGGAAAGGCCCUGCUUCUGUGGGCUUCUCGAGUGGCGAACGGGUGAGUAACACGUGUGUAACCUGCUCUUGACUUUGGGAUAACUUCAGGAAACUGGGGCUAAUACUGCAUAGUAGCUUCUCCUGCACGGUGGGGGUUGGAAAGUUGCGGCGGGCUGGGAUGGAUGCGCGGCUUAUCAGCUUGUUGGGGGGGUAGUGGCUUACCACUGGGUUGAAGGAUAGCCGGCCUGGGAGGGGGAACGGGGACAAUAGGCCUACGGGAGGGAGCAGUCGGCAACGGGGGGCAGUGGUGGGAAGUAUGACGCAGUGAGCGGAAGCGUGAUGCAACGGCGUCGCGUGCGGGAAGUCGGCCUUGCGGGUAGAAACCGCUUUAGGCUGAGACGAAGCGUGAGUGACGGUAAUGGGUGAAGAAGCACCGGCUAACUACGUG
rnacentral:rRNA from 1 species